rnacentral:misc_RNA from 1 species
AAUCGUCAACCAUGCCUUGAUUGAUUUCAGAGCAUGGCUUGGAGUUGGGGGUUUGCUGGCGGCGAAAAGCUAUCAGCUCUCCUGAAAUGCAUUAGCAAAGGACGGCAAGUCUGAUGUGGACGGCCUUUGACGUGAUAAUGAUCGUCGUGGCUGGAGUGUCUGACGUGCAGGAAUCGACCUUGCUCACAAACGGUUCACCCUAGCCUUCGAGCUGCUCAGCUGCCAGCUGGUCGUGAGACCAGCGAACGUUGGGGCGGCUCGAGGGACGUUUUGGGUUGUUUCGAA